CAGGAAAAACCACAGCAGGAAAUGAAGCAGUAACACAAGCAGCAGGACAUGAAGCACUGGCACAAGCAGCAGUACAAGUUGUCCUACUGACAGAAGCAGUUCCUUUAAAUUCUGAAAAUACAACUUCGGAUUCCAGGCUGAAAAAUGGAGUUUCUGGCUUUAACCAAACAAAAGGAGUCGACGUCUUGUGCCUCGUUGUGUUUCUUUGUGUUUUGGCUCAUUUAAAAUGAUCAUGUUGAUUUAAGUAUCUUUAC